rnacentral:lncRNA from 1 species
CAGGUCCAGUGCUCAACUGCUUUAAAAGUCUGCUUGUAGCUCACUUGCCAUUUCUUUUACUUCAUGGGCUUUGGCAAGUCAUAUUGAAAUGCUCAGGAUAAGGACAGGAAGUGGCCACAUGAACAUAAGGACACAGGGACACUGGGCUGAACUCAUGGAAACUUUUGGUUCCAAAUAGAGGAAGUCAUAGCAACAACAGCGAUUCAUCUUCCGGCUUUCAUCAGCUCCUCAUGGCCUCGCUGUCAUCGUCAUCUGAGCUAAAAACAAUCCAACCAAGGGAAAGGCAUCUCCUCUCCUGCCAUUCCACUCUCCUCUCCACCACCGAUGGCACAUUCUCUGUAGUUUUUGUUCCUGCCUCCAUUUUGGUGAGUUGUCAUGAAGAAAUAAAGGUAUGUGGUGGUGGGUGGCUUUCCCCCAAGUGUUCAUCUCUUGCAUUUCCAAAUAGGCCCAUUGGGCUACUUUGUGUGCUUCAAGCUAAAAUGGGCUUGUUUCUAAAAAUAGACCUCUGUUCCUGCUGUGCCAUCUGCACCAUCCCUUUGUAUAAACCAAAA